rnacentral:snRNA from 1 species
CAGUUGUGCAGUGAGCUAAUAGCGAACUAUUCUUUUGCCUUUUACUAAAGAAUAUUGUGUGCUCGCUGCUACUCAAGCAGCAUACGCCUCUUUUUGGAGGGUUUUUUUUCCUCUUUAGGAAUU